rnacentral:rRNA from 1 species
GCAGCCGCGGUAAUACGUAGGUGGCGAGCGUUGUCCGGAUUUACUGGGCGUAAAGGGAGCGUAGGCGGACUUUUAAGUGAGAUGUGAAAUACCCGGGCUCAACUUGGGUGCUGCAUUUCAAACUGGAAGUCUAGAGUGCAGGAGAGGAGAAUGGAAUUCCUAGUGUAGCGGUGAAAUGCGUAGAGAUUAGGAAGAACACCAGUGGCGAAGGCGAUUCUCUGGACUGUAACUGACGCUGAGGCUCGAAAGCGUGGGGAGCAAACAGGAUUAGAUACCCG